rnacentral:rRNA from 1 species
UCUUUUUCACUUAGGUAGUAAUAUCAUAUAGAACCAAUAUUAAAUGGCGGUUUUUAUUUACUAGAGAAGCUCGCCCUAUAAUUCGACAACCCCCGAUCAUUUUAACUUUAUUUAAAAGUUUAUAUACCGCCGUUAUAAAAUUAAUUCAACACUUAAAUUUUAACUUUACUUAUAUAACAAAAAUCAGGUCAAGGUGUAGCCAACAAUAAAGUAGAAGUAAGCUACAUUAAAAAUAAUUUAAGGACUUAAAAUUAAAUAUAAAAAAAGAAAAAGAAUCUAUAUAUACAUAUAAACUAAAAAUUUAUAUAGAAAUAUAUAAUAAAAACGC